rnacentral:rRNA from 1 species
GAUUAGAGUUUGAUCCUGGCUCAGGAUGAACGCUAGCGGCAGGCCUAACACAUGCAAGUCGAGGGGUAGAGGUUCUUCGGAGCCUUGAGACCGGCGCACGGGUGCGUAACGCGUAUGCAAUCUACCUUGUGCAGGGGGAUAGCCCAGAGAAAUUUGGAUUAAUACCCCAUGGUGUAUUAUAGUGGCAUCAUUUAAAUACUAAAGUUCCAACGGUACAAUAUGAGCAUGCGUCCCAUUAGUUAGUUGGUAAGGUAACGGCUUACCAAGACGAUGAUGGGUAGGGGUCCUGAGAGGGAGAUCCCCCACACUGGUACUGAGACACAGACCAGACUCCUACGGGAGGCAGCAGUGAGGAAUAUUGGUCAAUGGGCGCAAGCCUGAACCAGCCAUGCCGCGUGCAGGAAGACGGCCCUAUGGGUUGUAAACUGCUUUUGUCAGGGAAUAAACCUAUCUACGCGUAGAUAGCUGAAGGUACCGAAGAAUAGCAUUG